rnacentral:rRNA from 1 species
AUUGAACGCUGGCGGAAUGCUUUACACAUGCAAGUCGAACGGCAGCGCGGGCUUCGGCCUGGCGGCGAGUGGCGAACGGGUGAGUAAUAUAUCGGAACGUACCCAAGAGUGGGGGAUAACGUAGCGAAAGCUACGCUAAUACCGCAUACGAUCUAAGGAUGAAAGCAGGGGACCGCAAGGCCUUGUGCUCCUGGAGCGGCCGAUAUCUGAUUAGCUAGUUGGUGAGGUAAAGGCUCACCAAGGCAACGAUCAGUAGCUGGUCUGAGAGGACGACCAGCCACACUGGAACUGAGACACGGUCCAGACUCCUACGGGAGGCAGCAGUGGGGAAUUUUGGACAAUGGGGGCAACCCUGAUCCAGCAAUGCCGCGUGAGUGAAGAAGGCCUUCGGGUUGUAAAGCUCUUUUGUCAGGGAAGAAAAGGCUGUGGCUAAUAUCCAUAGCUGCUGACGGUACCUGAAGAAUAAGCACCGGCUAACUACGUGCCAGCAGCCGCCGUAAUGC